rnacentral:rRNA from 1 species
UACGUAGGGUGCAAGCGUUGUCCGGAUUUAUUGGGCGUAAAGAGCUCGUAGGCGGUCUGUCGCGUCGGAUGUGAAAACCCAGGGCUCAACCCUGGGCCUGCAUUCGAUACGGGCAGACUAGAGUAUGGCAGGGGAGACUGGAAUUCCUGGUGUAGCGGUGAAAUGCGCAGAUAUCAGGAGGAACACCGGUGGCGAAGGCGGGUCUCUGGGCCGUUACUGACGCUGAGGAGCGAAAGCGUGGGGAGCGAACAGG